AUGACAGACACAGCGGGCGCGAGGUUCAAUGAGACGGAGACGACCGGAUCCUGCGAGGAGGCGUCUGAGAGGGCCGGAUUUGGUGUUCGGGAGGCAUCCAGAGAUGCUCCCCGGGCGGCGGCUGCAUCCUGGGUGGCGGAGGGCGUCGGCAGGAGGAGCUUGGGCGCGAGCGGUGCGGCUGUUGUCUCCUCGGACAAGUGGAUGGAUCGGAUCUGGCUGUGGCUGGUUGUGGUUGGGCGGCAGUGGAAAACAAGGAAGGUGGUCAGAGAUGAUUUGGAUCAAGGAGAAGGUGGCGGCUGUGGCUGGUUGGAGGGAGAUGGAUCUGGGAGGAUCCCGAUGUAG
rnacentral:rRNA from 1 species